ACCGAUUUAGCUCAGUCAGUUGAGCGUGGCGCUAAAAAGGCCAAGGUCGCGGGUUCGAUUCCCAUUUGGUC
rnacentral:tRNA from 1 species